rnacentral:rRNA from 1 species
CCCUUAGAUGUCCUGGGCCGCACGCGCGCUACACUGAUGCAUUCAACGAGUUUUUCCUUGGCCGAGAGGCCUGGGCAAUCUUGUGAACGUGCGUCGUGAUAGGGAUAGAUUCUUGCAAUUAUUAAUCUUGAACGAGGAAUUCCUAGUAAACGCAGAUCAUCAAUCUGCAUUGAUUACGUCCCUGCCCUUUGUACACACCGCCCGUCGCACCUACCGAUUGAAUGGUCCGGUGAAGCCUCGAGAUUGUGGCUAGCUUGCUUCAUUGCGAGUUAGUUGCGAGAACUUGUCUAAACCUUAUCAUUUAGAGGAAGGUGAAGUCGUANCA